UACGGAGGGGGCUAGCGUUAUUCGGAAUUACUGGGCGUAAAGCGCACGUAGGCGGCUUUGUAAGUAAGAGGUGAAAGCCCGGGGCUCAACUCCGGAAUUGCCUUUAAGACUGCAUCGCUAGAAUUGUGGAGAGGUAAGUGGAAUUCCGAGUGUAGAGGUGAAAUUCGUAGAUAUUCGGAAGAACACCAGUGGCGAAGGCGACUUACUGGACACAUAUUGACGCUGAGGUGCGAAAGCGUGGGGAGCAAACAGG
rnacentral:rRNA from 1 species